rnacentral:RNase_P_RNA from 1 species
GGAGUCGGCCGAGCAGUCGCCGGGAGAACAUCCCGGAGGAAAGUCCGGGCUCCAUCGGGCAGGGUGCCAGGUAACGCCUGGGGGUGCGCGAGCCCACGGAAAGUGCCACAGAAAAUAUACCGCCGGCCGUCAGGCCGGUAAGGGUGAAAUGGUGCGGUAAGAGCGCACCGCGCAGGUGGCAACACCUGUGGCAGGGUAAACCCCACCCGGAGCAAGACCGAAUAGGGGAGCGUUGAGCGUGCCCGCGCGAGCUCCCGGGUUGGUCGCUAGAGACGCGCGGCGACGCGGGUCCGAGAUGAAUGGCUGCUCUCGACAGAACCCGGCUUACAGGCCGGCUCCUUAC